GACGAACGCUGGCGGCGUGCUUAACACAUGCAAGUCGAACGGAAAGGCCCUGCUUUUGUGGGGUGCUCGAGUGGCGAACGGGUGAGUAACACGUGAGUAACCUGCCCUUGACUUUGGGAUAACUUCAGGAAACUGGGGCUAAUACCGGGUAGGAGCUCCUGCUGCAUGGUGGGGGUUGGAAAGUUCCGGCGGUUGGGGAUGGACUCGCGGCUUAUCAGCUUGUUGGUGGGGUAGUGGCUUACCAAGGCUUUGACGGGUAGCCGGCCUGAGAGGGUGACCGGCCACAAUGGGACUGAGAGACGGCCCAGACUCCUACGGGAGGCAGCAGUGGGGAAUAUUGCACAAUGGGCGGAAGCCUGAGGCAGCAACGCCGCGUGCGGGAUGACGGCCUUCGGGUUGUAAACCGCUGUCGCCUGUGACGAAGCGUGAGUGACAGUAAUGGGUAAAGAAGCACCGGCUAACUACGUG
rnacentral:rRNA from 1 species